UCUACGGGAGGCAGCAGUCGGGAAUAUUGCGCAAUGGAGGAAACUCUGACGCAGUGACGCCGCGUGCAGGAAGAAGGUUUUCUGAUUGUAAACUGCUUUAGACAGGGAAGAAAAACGACAGUACCGGUAGACUAAGCUCCUGCUAACUACGUGCCAGCAGCCGAGGUAAUACGUAGGGAGCAAGCGUUAUCCGGAUUUAUUGGGUGUAAAGGGUGCGUAGACGGGGAAGGAAGGUAGGUGUGAAAUCCCUCGGGUUAACUGAGGAACUGCAACUAAAACUACUUCCCGUGAGUACUGGAGAGGAAAGUGGAAUUCCUAGUGUAGCGGUGAAAUGCGUAGAUAUUAGGAGGAACACCAGUGGCGAAGGCGACUUUCUGGACAGUAACUGACGUUGAGGCACGAAAGUGUGGGGAGCAAACAGGAUUAGAUACCCGUGUAGUC
rnacentral:rRNA from 1 species